rnacentral:ncRNA from 2 species
GCAAUGUGAUUUCUGCCCAGUGC